CCGUAGGGUGAACCUGCGGAAGGAUCAUUAUUGAUUUUAUCUAUUUCUGUGGAUUUCUAUUCUAUUACAGCGUCAUUUUAUCUCAAUUAUAACUAUCAACAACGGAUCUCUUGGCUCUCACAUCGAUGAAGAACGCAGCGAACCGCGAUAUUUUUUGUGACUUGCAGAUGUGAAUCAUCAAUCUUUGAACGCACAUUGCGCGGUAUGGCAUUCCGUACCGCACGGAUGGAGGAGCGUGUUCCCUCUGGGAUCGCAUUGCUUUCUUGAAAUGGAUUUUUUAAACUCUCAAUUAUUACGUCAUUUCACCUCCUUCAUCCGAGAUUACCCGCUGAACUUAAGCAUAUCAAUAAGCGGAGGA
rnacentral:rRNA from 1 species